AACGAACGCUGGCGGCAGGCCUAACACAUGCAAGUCGAACGAGACCUUCGUGUCUAGUGGCGCACGGGUGCGUAACGCGUGGGAACCUGCCCUUAGGUUCGGAAUAACUCCCCGAAAGGGGUGCUAAUACCGGAUAAUGUCUUCGGACCAAAGAUUUAUCGCCUGUGGAUGGGCCGGCGUUGGUUUAGCUAGUUGGUAGGGUAAAAGCCUACCAAGGCGACGAUCCAUAGCGGGUCUGAGAGGAUGAUCAGCCACACUGGGACUGAGACACGGCGCAGACUCCUACGGGAGGCAGCAGUGGGGAAUAUUGGACAAUGGGCGAAAGCCUGAUCCAGCAAUGCCGCGUGAGUGAUGAAGGCCUUAGGGUUGUAAAGCUCUUUUAUCCGGGAUGAUAAUGACAGUACCGGGAGAAUAAGCUCCGGCUAACUCCGUG
rnacentral:rRNA from 1 species